GGGGGCGAUUCGGGUUCGACGGCAGCAUUAGGCUGCGGGAAGCAUGCCGGAGAAGGCGACUCCGUAAAAAACCAAAAACAAACAAUUCCCGAACGCGAACUCGCACUCGCUGCUUAAUUAACGCAGCGACGUCCUCUAUGGCUUGCCUGUAGGCUGUAGAAGGGCGUAAGAGAUACAGGCUACUGAAAGCCGAGCUCCUCUUAAGGCUUUCGGGAAAUUUUAAGAGGAUAGUCUAUAAACCGGUGCCUGUGCCGGUUUAUAGGCGAAACUUUCUCACAGGCUAAGCAUGUAGAUGCCCAACUGCUGGGAUGCUGUCGGACGGGGGUUCGAUUCCCCCCGCCUCCACUU
rnacentral:tmRNA from 1 species